GACGUACUGCUGUUUUACAGUAGGCUAUUUCAUGUUGUAGCUGACAUGCAGCUACUUGACAUUGUUUGGAUUUUCAGUUUAGUUAGUUUCUGUUUUAUUUUGUAGUUUUCUCCUCUUGUGUCUUGUUUACUUUUGCAUUUCCUGUGUUUGUCUUUUUCCCGCCUUCUGUAUUACCUUAAUUAGUUUCACCUGUGCCUUGUUUGUUUUCCCUCCCGGUUUGUCUUUUUCUUUCUUUCUUAAGACGCUUAAGUCUGCGUAUUUAGUUUUUAGUUUCUCACCGUGUUCCCUUUUCGUUUUUUUCUUGGAUAUUUUUCUGUUGUUUUGUCUCGCAUUCAUUUGGAUCAUAAUUGGACUUCCAGCCGCCUUUAGUUUUUGUGUUACCCCACCUCCUUCACGUGCGCUCUUUACGGUUUGAACUAGUCCAGAGAAAGCAGCACUAGCAGGAUCGAUACUGCUGAGGGAGAACACAACUCUGCACACACUACCACCUUACAGGACCUGCGCUGCCCUCGCUUUGCUUCCUGACAUCAGUCACUAACAGUUGCAUCCAGGCUGCUGGAGAGGUGGAGCGCUGUCUGUGAGCUUGGCAGUGGGAGUGCCUGUGGUAAUAGCUGGAUCAGCGUCCAAGCUCUCGGACAUCUUGUCGCAAAUUAGGUCAACAAGACGUUCAAAGGUCUGCUUCACGUUGACGUUGUCCUUCGCACUGGUCUCAAAGAACUCGAAACCUUGGAAAGAGAGCAGGUAAUGUAAACGUGAAGAGACGACAGCGACCAUGUGAUGAAGAUUUAUGAUUUAAUUUUUGGGAAAGGCUUGGACACGUGGAAAAACACCACCCAGGUUACAUGGCUUACCCAACUGCUCUGCCAGAAGUCUGCCACUAUCCACUGAGACCACUCUCUCCUCUUCCAUAUCGCACUUAUUUCCAGCCAGCACCACCUGUGCAUUAUCCCACGAGUAGGUUUUUAUCUGGGUUGACCUGCACGUGACCAGAAACAAAUACAGCAAAAAAAAAAAAGACAAGAGAUUAACCUGAAAGACGGCAGAGACAACAACUUGAUAGAAAGUCUGUUUGCCAUUUGGACUGGUCAUGAACAGCGAUUACAUCACCUUGAGUUUGUCACCAUGUCAUAUUUGAGUCACUGGUGGCAGCAGUAGAAAAGUGGGUCAAUCGGCACCCUGCACUGGAGACAGUCACUAUUUCUCAGAUUGCUUAUUAUUUGCCAUUUUCUAGCUAAUUUAUAUUGAUACUUUUCAUCUUUUCCUUUGCUUCUUCUGACUUAUGUUUGUAAGCUGUUAUCUGUAUGGCCUACGAAUAUCUGGCAAGAUAUCAUAGGUACACAGGGUAUAUUGUGAAUUUCCCCAGUGCGGGACUAAUAAAGACCUAUCUUAUUGUA